GACGAACGCUGGCGGCGUGCUUAACACAUGCAAGUCGAACGGAAAGGCCCUGCUUUUGUGGGGUGCUCGAGUGGCGAACGGGUGAGUAACACGUGAGUAACCUGCCCUUGACUUUGGGAUAACUUCAGGAAACUGGGGCUAAUACCGGAUAGGAGCUCCUGCUGCAUGGUGGGGGUUGGAAAGUUUCGGCGGUUGGGGAUGGACUCGCGGCUUAUCAGCUUGUUGGUGGGGUAGUGGCUUACCAAGGCUUUGACGGGUAGCCGGCCUGAGAGGGUGACCGGCCACAUUGGGACUGCGAUACGGCCCAGUCUCCUACGGGAGGCAGCAGUGGGGAAUAUUGCACAAUGGGCGGAAGCCUGAUGCAGCAACGCCGCGUGCGGGAUGACGGCCUUCGGGUUGUAAACCGCUUUCGCCUGUGCCGAAGCGUGAGUGACGGUAAUGGGUAAAGAAGCACCGGCUAACUACGUG
rnacentral:rRNA from 1 species